GAUGAACGCUGGCGGCGUGCCUAAUACAUGCAAGUCGAGCGAACAGAUGAGGAGCUUGCUCCUCUGACGUUAGCGGCGGACGGGUGAGUAACACGUGGAUAACCUACCUAUAAGACUGGGAUAACUUCGGGAAACCGGAGCUAAUACCGGAUAAUAUAUUGAACCGCAUGGUUCAAUAGUGAAAGACGGUUUUGCUGUCACUUAUAGAUGGAUCCGCGCCGCAUUAGCUAGUUGGUAAGGUAACGGCUUACCAAGGCAACGAUGCGUAGCCGACCUGAGAGGGUGAUCGGCCACACUGGAACUGAGACACGGUCCAGACGCCUACGGGAGGCAGCAGUAGGGAAUCUCCGCAAUGGGCGAAAGCCUGACGGAGCAACGCCGCGUGAGUGAUGAAGGUCUUCGGAUCGUAAAACUCUGUUAUUAGGGAAGAACAAAUGUGUAAGUAACUAUGCACGUCUUGACGGUACCUAAUCAGAAAGCCACGGCUAACUACGUG
rnacentral:rRNA from 1 species